AAUUGUUACAUAAGAAUGAGAAAUAAAAAUGUUAAAUUAUACUUUUAAAGUGAUUUAUGUUUGGUUUAAAAGUUAAUGAAUUUAAUGAAAUAAUCUAUACAAUUAACAAUGAUGGCAAAAAACUAUACAAUUAAUAAGGAAAGAAAUAAAGUUGUGUGUAGUGUAGUAUUUAUAGGUAAAAGCAAAAUUAAAAAAAAAAUUGCUCAUUGUAUGUCUAUGUUUUCCUCGACCUCUUUUCUUCCUUUCAAGGAGUACAAUUCUCUUAACACAUAAAAUGAUCUGCAUAUUAAUAUGUGAAUGGAGAAUAAUUGCAUAUAGAACUGCAUCACUUUUGGUUCUGCUA
rnacentral:lncRNA from 1 species